GUGGGGAAUAUUGGGCAAUGGGCGAAAGCCUGACCCAGCAACGCCGCGUGAGGGAAGAAGGCCUUCGGGUUGUAAACCUCUGUCCUUGGUGACGAAGAAAGUGACGGUAGCCAAGGAGGAAGCCCCGGCUAACUACGUGCCAGCAGCCGCGGUAAUACGUAGGGGGCGAGCGUUGUCCGGAAUUACUGGGCGUAAAGGGUGCGUAGGUGGCCUUUUAAGUUGGAUGUGAAAUACCCGGGCUUAACUUGGGGGGUGCAUCCAAAACUGGGAGGCUAGAGUGCAGGAGAGGAAAGCGGAAUUCCUAGUGUAGCGGUGAAAUGCGUAGAUAUUAGGAGGAACACCAGUGGCGAAGGCGGCUUUCUGGACUGUAACUGACACUGAGGCACGAAAGCGUGGGGAGCAAACAGGAUUAGAUACCCUGGUAGUCC
rnacentral:rRNA from 1 species